GACUUCGUGAAGCUGGAUUCGCUAGUAAUCGCGCAUCAGCCAUGGCGCGGUGAAUACGGUUCCCGGGCCUUGUACACACCGCCCGUCAAGCCAUGAAAGCCGGGGGUACCUGAAGUACGUAACCGCAAGGAUCGUCCUAGGGUAAAACUGGUAAUUGGGGCUAAGUCGUAACAAGGUACC
rnacentral:rRNA from 1 species